rnacentral:rRNA from 1 species
UACGUAGGGGGCAAGCGUUAUCCGGAUUUACUGGGUGUAAAGGGAGCGUAGACGGCAUGGCAAGCCAGACGUGAAAUACCGGGGCUCAACCCCGGGACUGCAUUUGGAACUGUUAAGCUGGAGUGUCGGAGAGGCAGGCGGAAUUCCUAGUGUAGCGGUGAAAUGCGUAGAUAUUAGGAGGAACACCAGUGGCGAAGGCGGCCUGCUGGACGAUAACUGACGUUGAGGCUCGAAAGCGUGGGGAGCAAACAGG